GAUCAUGGCUCAGGAUGAACGCUAGCUACAGGCUUAACACAUGCAAGUCGAGGGGCAGCAUGGUCUUAGCUUGCUAAGACUGAUGGCGACCGGCGCACGGGUGAGUAACACGUAUCCAACCUGCCGUCUACUCUUGGACAGCCUUCUGAAAGGAAGAUUAAUCCAGGAUGGGAUCAUGAGUUCACAUGUCCGCAUGAUUAAAGGUAUUUUCCGGUAGACGAUGGGGA
rnacentral:rRNA from 1 species